UCCUAUGUACAUUAAAAUGAAUACUGAAAUUCUAAGUUUUGCUGAUGAUACUGAAAUUUUAUUAUCUGAACGAAUUAUAAAUACUUUGUAUUAUGAGGCAAACAAUUUUUUAAAUAAUAUUAAUAUUUGGUUUUACAAGAAUAAAUUGAAAAUAAACUUAUUAAAAUCUAAAUGUAUUUAAUAAUAAUUGUUUCGACCCAAUAAAGUGUAAUACAUUACAUGUAAAUAAUCCAUUUUUUAAUGCGUUUCUGUUUGGAAUAAUAUAUAUAUAUAUAUAUAUGGGCCACAGUGUGUUAAAUUUGAAAAUGUGAGGGAAUUAAAAUACCAUGGUCUAAUUCUUGACUAUAGACUUAAGUGGGAUAGUCAUAUUAACUAUAUAUUUAAUAACUCACAUAAAAGAAUUAUUUUUCUACAAAUGUAUAAAUGAAUUAAUUAAUUAAUUAAUGGGUCGCCUGGAGUAUUAUGAAAUGUGUAUUGUACUACCAGUUUCUAAUUAAAAAUGUAUCGUUAGGUAAAAUCACAGUCAAAAAAUAAAAGGCAGCUGAAUAUGAAAAAACAAAAUGAAGGAAUACAUAGAAAAAAAUUAUACUUUUACAUAGAAAUAAUUUAUUUUAAUAAGACAGAUUAUUUAAAAUGAGUUAUCAUUAGACAUACAUAUGUUAAGAAAUAUAAAUUGUUUGGUUAUUAUUUAUUAUCUUAAAU
rnacentral:lncRNA from 1 species